CGCCCCGCCGCCUCCCCGCAGACGCCCGGCCCGCCCAGGCGCGCGGGCCUUCGCACCUGCGGGCGCCUGCUCUCCCCUCGCAGCAGUGCUCCGGUUGUGAAUCCAUCCGGGGUCCAGGAUGACAAUCCGACACCAAGGCCAGCAGUACAGGCCGAGGAUGGCAUUUCUGCAGAAGCAUCAUCUCAGGUUUCCAAGCCGCCUCUUGGUCCUGAAGGCUCGGCGCUGCGUGGGCACAGUGUGACGGGGCGGGGAGCCUGUCCCCAGGAGCAGAAGGGCAUGGCCUGCAGUUCAGCUGGGCCCGCCCCAGCUCUGAGUCACAUAAGAUAGAAGAAUAGGCCAGUUGCGGUGAUUCACACCUAUAACCCUAGAACUCCGGGAGGCCGAGGCUGGAGGAUCACUUAAACUCAGGAGUUUGAGACCAGUCU